ACAUAAAAAGCCCUGCAGCAAUACUGCAGGGUCCUUCCAUAUCCAUUUCUGGAUCGAAGGCAAAGGGAGAGGAGAAACCGGAGGAAGAACUUAUGGGGAAUCGUAAGUCUUCUCCGCGG
rnacentral:ncRNA from 1 species